rnacentral:rRNA from 1 species
AGUGAACGCUGGCGGUAGGCCUAACACAUGCAAGUCGAACGGCAGCACAGUAAGAGCUUGCUCUUACGGGUGGCGAGUGGCGGACGGGUGAGGAAUACAUCGGAAUCUACUUUUUCGUGGGGGAUAACGUAGGGAAACUUACGCUAAUACCGCAUACGACCUACGGGUGAAAGCAGGGGAUCUUCGGACCUUGCGCGAUUGAAUGAGCCGAUGUCGGAUUAGCUAGUUGGCGGGGUAAAUGCCCACCAAGGCGACGAUCCGUAGCUGGUCUGAGAGGAUGAUCAGCCACACUGGAACUGAGACACGGUCCAGACUCCUACGGGAGGCAGCAGUGGGGAAUAUUGGACAAUGGGCGCAAGCCUGAUCCAGCCAUACCGCGUGGGUGAAGAAGGCCUUCGGGUUGUAAAGCCCUUUUGUUGGGAAAGAAAAGCAGCAGGUUAAUACCCCGCUGUUCUGACGGUACCCAAAGAAUAAGCACCGGCUAACUUCGU